AACGAACGCUGGCGGCAUGCCUAACACAUGCAAGUCCAACGAGACCUUCGGGUCUAGUGGCGCACGGGUGCGUAACGCGUGGGAACCUGCCCUUAGGUUCGGAAUAACUCCCCGAAAGGGGUGCUAAUACCGGAUAAUGUCUUCGGACCAAAGAUUUAUCGCCUUUGGAUGGGCCCGCGUUGGAUUAGCUAGUUGGUAGGGUAAAAGCCUACCAAGGCGACGAUCCAUAGCUGGUCUGAGAGGAUGAUCAGCCACACUGGGACUGAGACACGGCCCAGACUCCUACGGGAGGCAGCAGUGGGGAAUAUUGGACAAUGGGCGAAAGCCUGAUCCAGCAAUGCCGCGUGAGUGAUGAGGGCCUUAGGGUUGUAAAGCUCUUUUACCCGGGAUGAUAAUGACAGUACCGGGAGAAUAAGCUCCGGCUAACUCCGUG
rnacentral:rRNA from 1 species